ensembl:ncRNA mir-4966-2 mir-4966-2 stem loop
UGUAUGUACUUGUCGGCACUGGAGUACUAAAUAUAUUGCACAUGUUCAUGCAUGUUCAACAUAUUUAGCACUCAAGUACCGAAAAAU